CUCCCAAUAGGACACAAAGCCCAGAAUAGCAAGGUCGUAAGCGUGGGUAGGGCCUCCUGGAAGUGGGGGCAGAGGCUGGGGGGCACCUGGGAAGGAAAGCAAAAGGCAGGAUGGUAAGAGGCAGAGCUGGAUGGAGGUGGGUGGAAAGAGGGCAAGGUGGAAGAUGAACUCCGUGAGGCUGGAUCUUCUGAUUUCAAGAGAAGCCGGCAAUCUGUGAACUCCAGUGGAAACAUCACCCAGGCCAGGCCAAUCACGUCAGCAGCUCUGACCCAGAUGUGACUCCCGUUUCACAGAUCUGUCCCCACACGGUAUCCUGAGUCGGGGAAUGCUACAACUUGCCCAGGGUAGGAAGCCUUAACCAGAGACUCCACAGCAGGAAAGGCCCCUGAAGACUGGCAACCCCGCUGUUCACCAUCCUGUCCCAUUAAGGGAAGUUGCCCAGAG